CCGCCAUGCCACUCUAGGCUUCUCUCUUCCUUCACUCUGCUUCAUAUCCACUCUUCAGCCUUCGUGGAAAAAAGCAAAAAUAAAUAAAAAUCAGUCCACUGGUAAACCAUAUAACCAGGUUACAUAUGCAGGAUUGUGUUAAAAUAUACUCGUCACUCGUUGGAUGUGUAAGGAUUUACAGAAAUGUUUAUAAUGUCCUAGACCACUCCACCCAUCAGCUUAAACCUUUGGAUCGAAUACUCAUAUUCUUUCUCAACUAGAAUCCUCAUGUGCCUAUUCCAUGCAAUCAUUUCAACUACCAAACCACAUUUUAGGAUUCUUAUUAAAGCAUGCAACACAAAACGUUCAAUCCUGUUUGCUACAAGUCUUCAAAGUAUGCAUUUGUUUCAUGACACUUCUACCAGCAUCUUCCAUUUAAACCAUAUUGGCCAUUUGUAGAGUAAAAUGUGUUAUAUUUUGAAACUAACCAUAGGCACUUACAAUUUUUCUUUUCAAAGUGAAACCAAACAGAGAAAAGAAAUACUUGCUACUGAACUCUGAACAUAUGAAAGAACGGCAGCUAUAUCAUUUUGAAGUUUUAACCAAUCAAAGUCAAUAAACAAGCCUGUGUAUUUUAUGGUCCCAAUGGAUAAGAACUGCUUUUAUCUCCACCUGAGAUUUUUGGUGGUUAUCCCUCGUGUGCAAUCAGUUUAACUGGCCCUCCGGAAUUUCUUUGUUAUUAGAAAAAGAAAAAGUGGAUUCAGUAUAACUGCAACAUAAAUAGAAUGAAAAGGAGAUCAUACCUUCUCACAGAGGUUGUAUCGCUGGUUAAAACUGAGGCUGGAAACAGCAAUUUAGUAACUUUACCCAACUCCAACUUGAACCAAGUUGGAAGUGAUAUAAGAACUUAUCAUAACAAAACUAAGUUUAUAUCUGACUUUGCACACAAUCGUUGUGGGGAGUCACCUGAAAACACAUAAAUAGAAGAGAGAAUCUAGCCAACCUUCAAUUUGCAUCAUCUAACGUGCUCGUUAUGUCAUAAAUCCCCUACUGAAGAUAGGUUGCCAAACUACGACCGAGAGUUUCACCUUUUGAAGCGCCAGUCGAGUAGGGCGACCGGACCAGGCCGAGUCAGAAAGGCUUUGAUGACUCAAGGUUCAUAUUAGGGAAAGGAGAGUGAGGGGAAGAGGGGGCAUCCCUCAUCCCGAUCAUCCGAUUCGCUCUUUCCUGAGGUAUCUAAUAACCUUGCUUCUACUCGCCGCUGGCGCACCUCUCCUAACUAUUGCCCAUUUAUUCUGGAAUAA
rnacentral:lncRNA from 1 species